CAGGGCUGUCAGUGUGCAACACCCUGCUCCAGUAGAAGAAGGUGGGGGCUGUUAGGAGAAAGCAGGGGGAUGUGGGACUCUCUCAGGGAAGUAGGGAUGUGUUUCAGGAAACUAUUGAUCAUCCAUUCCCAUCCUCUUGUUGCUUUUGUGGCUGUGUCCCUCCUUAUUGUUCCCUCCUCCUUAUCCUGCUGCUGGUCUGGAGUGCAGUGGUCAGGAUGAAACCUAAAAGUGCUACAGAGUGCCCUGGAAAAUCUGGGCGAAGCAGGCCUGGUAAGGUCGAUCCCCCAACUACUCACAGCUUCAAGGAGAAGACAUUUAAGAAGAAGAAGCACUGUGUAGUAUGCAAACAGCCAAUCACAUCACAGGGCAUCUUAUGUCGCGUCUGCAAGUUAGCAAGUCACAAGAAAUGUGAAUCCAAGGUAA